GGGGACGACCUGGCUUCGACGUGGGUUACGAAACUUGUAGGUGCAUGCCGAGGGCGAAACUCACCUCGUAAAACUCAGUUUCAAAGUUAUAGUUGCAAACGACGAUAACUACGCUUUAGCUGCAUAAGCUAAACGGACACCUACAUAUUCUUGCGUUUGUAGAUUGUCCGUCAUAACUAGCAAGAUCGCCCGGUGUGCUGUUUAGACGCACCAGGUUAAAUAAAAUCUGAGCUGGUGUUGAUGAAUCCUGUUAGGCGGAGUCAUCAACAUAAGAUUAAAAGCCGAAACUAAGCAUGUAGAGCCUCAAGCAGAGGACUUGCGGACGCGGGUUCGAUUCCCGCCGUCUCCACCA
rnacentral:tmRNA from 1 species